GUGCUUACUUCAGCAGCAUGUAAUCUAAAUUUGGAGCAAUACAGAGAUUAGCACGGCCUUUGCACAAGGAUGACAUGCAACUUUGUGCACCAUUCCAUAUUUUU